GUAACCUUCUUAACUAUAUAGUAAAUGCUUUUCUUUUUAGGCUUAUAAAAGUGCCAACUUUCAGUGGGCUUUGAUUUGCAAUCUAGAUUCCGAUGGAGAUGGUUUGUCAAAUGGUGCUGAACUAGGGGACCCUAACUGUGUGUUUGCGAGUGGAACUCCAAUAGGACAUCCAGCAAUAUGUGACAAUAAGCAGUCUACAAUGCCAGAUUGUGUAUCUCCAAUGAAUGAGAUUUGUCCUCCACCUCCUUCACAAUCAAUCCCUUGAGCCAUGGGAUAGAUAUCAAACAAAGAGGGCUGAAUACGACAAAGAAACUUCAUCCUCUUUGUCUUUAUAAAGAGACUUUUAUAUUUUCAGUAAUGUAAUUUAGCUCAAUAAACUUUUCGUUGUAUAUUGAUUUUACCAGAAUAAAGUAUAUUUUCUUCCUA